GAUGAACGCUGGCGGCGUGCCUAAUACAUGCAAGUCGAGCGAACAGAUGAGGAGCUUGCUCCUCUGACGUUAGCGGCGGACGGGUGAGUAACACGUGGAUAACCUACCUAUAAGACUGGGAUAACUUCGGGAAACCGGAGCUAAUACCGGAUAAUAUAUUGAACCGCAUGGUUCAAUAGUGAAAGACGGUUUUGCUGUCACUUAUAGAUGGAUCCGCGCCGCAUUAGCUAGUUGGUAAGGUAACGGCUUACCAAGGCAACGAUGCGUAGCCGACCUGAGAGGGUGAUCGGCCACACUGGAACUGAGACACGGUCCAGACUCCUACGGGAGGCAGCAGUAGGGAAUCUUCCGCAAUGGGCGAAAGCCUGACGGAGCAACGCCGCGUGAGUGAUGAAGGUCUUCGGAUCGUAAAACUCUGUUAUUAGGGAAGAGCAAAUGUGUAAGUAACUAUGCACGUCUGGACGGUACCUAAUCAGAAAGCCACGGCUAACUACGU
rnacentral:rRNA from 1 species